rnacentral:rRNA from 1 species
GUUAACAGCCUAAAUACGCUAAAGUACCAGGUUUCCUCUGAAUUUGGAAGCUAAGCAGUGUCAGUUGUGGUUAGUAUUUGGAUGGGGGACUGUCAAUGAAUACCAGGUGCUGUAGGCA